UUGGCAGUAGCUGAGUGGUAGAUCUCCCACCUCGUAUGUGGGAAGACCUGGGUUCGAUUGCCGGCUGCUUAC
rnacentral:tRNA from 1 species